rnacentral:lncRNA from 1 species
CCGAACUUCCGAGCGGCACGCCCACCGGCCGAACAUCGGAGUGACCCGCCCGUGCCUGUGCGCAGCUUGAUCUGCCUACCACGCGUCAGCCUCGGUCAUCAUCUGACCGGCCUCGCCUUUCAUCUCUACCACCUGGAAAGCCGGCGUGGCCGACGGAGGUGAGGUCGCUGGACGUACGGCUUUUCACAAAAGUUAUGGAAUGUUUUGUGGCAUCUGUAAUGCAUGUACCCAGCAUAGACGACUGGCUGUUCAAGGAACUGAAGCAGCGGACAGCUUGCUGUAAAAGAUGGGAGCAUUCUUCCUCUGGUCUGGACAAGCCCAUAUUAAGUGGGAGAUGUUCAAUAUCAACCCGAUGAGAGGCAGCAAAUGUGGAAAUAGACGCAAGUCAAG